AUUCCUCACACCUUACUCCAGGGUAUUGUUUCUUGUACAUUCCCUGGCAUUACCUGAGGAUAAAAUAAUUGCUCUUAUUCUAACCUUGGGAAGCAUGUUUUCCCAUCAACAGUAAUACAGAGCAGACAUU